rnacentral:rRNA from 1 species
GUAGGGUAAAUCCUUAAUCCCGAAGGACGACCAGUGGCGAAAGCGUUUAACUAGAACGAAUCUGACGGUAAGGAACGAAGGCUAGGGUAGCAAACCGGAUUAGAUACCCGGGUAGUCCUAGCUGUAAACAUUGCCCAUUUGAUGUUGCUUUUCCGUUGAGGGAAGGCAGUGUCGGAGCGAAGGUGUUAAAUGGGCCGCUUGGGAAGUAUGGUCGCAAGACUGAAACUUAAAGGAAUUGGCGGGGGAGCACCGCAACGGGAGGAAUGUGCGGUUUAAUUGGAUUCAACGCCGGAAAACUCACCGGGAACGACCUGUGCAUGAGAGUCAACCUGACGAGCUUACUCGAUAGCAGGAGAGGUGGUGCAUGGCCGUCGUCAGCUCGUACCGUAGGGCGUUCACUUAAGUGUGAUAACGAGCGUGACCCACAUCUUUAAUUGCAAAUGUAUAUGAGAAUAUGCAUGCACUUUAGAGAAACCGCCAGCGCUAAGCUGGAGGAAGGAGUGGUCGACGGCAGGUCAGUACGCCCCGAAUUUCCCGGGCUACACGCGCAUUACAAAGAACGGGACAAUACGUUGCAACCUCGAAAGAGGAAGCUAAUCGCGAAACCCGUCCAUAGUUAGGAUUGAGGGCUGUAACUCGCCCUCAUGAUCUGGAUUCCGUAGUAAUCGCGGGUCAA